rnacentral:lncRNA from 1 species
CCUACCUGUGCACUGCUGGAUGAAGUGCUGGUACUCCGCUCCCUGCUCGCCGGGGACGAUGGUGGAGCCGUCAUAUUUAAAAGUCACCCUUUGGGUUGGGAGAAGAAAAAAACACACACACACAUCAGCGCUGGUGGCCGCGCGACGCGGCGCUUGCAGAGGACAAUCUAACAGACGCGCUGGCCACGGAGAAGCCCGCGGGGGCCUGGCACGCCGUCCCGGAAUAAGGCGAGGAAGACAGCGCGGGAGGCCCGAAUCCGUCCCGCCUGGAGGCCGGCUCGGUGCACGAGGCCCCGCGCGAGCCCGGGGAGCGGGGCGUGGAGACGAAUGAAAAGUUCCUACCAGAUGACGGCCGAGCCGUCGUCGCGCACCAGGUUGUACGCCGCCCGGCAAGCCUCUUUGUCGAUCUUGGUGGCCAUCGCCGCGGAGCCGCAGCGGGACACUGUCCGGGGCGGCCGAGCGCGCCCCUGGCCGGCGGCGGGGAUGGGAGCGCGGCGGGUACGCGCCGAGGGCGCACGGGCUGGCGGCGGUGGCGACGGCUACGCGGCGCCUGCAAGCUGCGAGCGCGGCGGCG